rnacentral:rRNA from 1 species
UACAGAGGGUGCAAACGUUGUUCGGAAUUACUGGGCGUAAAGCGAGUGUAGGCGGUUUGGAAAGUCGGAUGUGAAAGCCCCGGGCUCAACCCGGGAAGUGCACUCGAUACUCCCAAGCUAGAGUAUCGGAGAGGUUGGCGGAAUUCUCGGUGUAGAGGUGAAAUUCGUAGAUAUCGAGAGGAACACCGGCGGCGAAGGCGGCCAACUGGACGAAUACUGACGCUGAGACUCGAAAGCGUGGGGAGCAAACAGG